UACGUAGGGUGCGAGCGUUGUUCGGAAUUACUGGGCGUAAAGCGUGCGCAGGCGGUUAUGCAAGACAGAUGUGAAAUCCCCGGGCUUAACCUGGGAACCGCAUUUGUGACUGCAUAGCUGGAGUACGGCAGAGGGGGAUGGAAUUCCGCGUGUAGCAGUGAAAUGCGUAGAUAUGCGGAGGAACACCGAUGGCGAAAGCAGUCCCCUGGGCCUGUACUGACGCUCAUGCACGAAAGCGUGGGGAGCAAACAGG
rnacentral:rRNA from 1 species